rnacentral:rRNA from 1 species
AUUGAACGCUGUCGGCAGGCCUAACACAUGCAAGUCGAACGAGUGUCGGACGGGUCAGUAAUGUCUGGGAAACCGCCUGAUUGUGGGGGAUACCUACUGGAAACGGUAGCUAAUACCGCAUACCAUCAGAUGUGCCCCGAUGGGAUUAACUUGUUGGUGGGGUAACGCGUUACCAAGGCGACUAUCCCUAGCUGGUCUGAGAGGAUGACCAGCGACGCGUGAAAUGGGACACGGUCCAGAGUGCUACGUGGGGCAGGAGUGGGGAGUAGUGCACAAGGGGGGAAAGCCGGAUGCAGCAGGGCGGCGGGUAUGAAGAAGGCCUUCGGGUUGUAAAGUACUUUCAGCGUGGAGGCGUAGCCCGCAGAAGAAGCACGGGCUGACGCCGUGCCAGCAGCCGCGGUAAUAC